UCGGGGUACUGUGUCACGCCCAAGGGUCCCAUUUCUGGUUUAAAAUCAAGCGGAAGUGCCCAAAUUUUUUUUUUUUAAAAACCUGAACCCCAGCGUAUGCCAGAUUCGCCACAAAUACAGAGAGUCCACUGUUCACACGGAAGAGUCUCCCCUGUAUUUGUAUGGCGUCGCAUAGGUACAAAAUAUAUAAUAGGAUACAACCACCACAACUGAAUACAAACAUUCAUCCAUUCAUACAUUCAUACACCAUUCACAUUCAGAGUUUACAAGCAUAAAUCCACAACUAUUAAUUUAAAAUGUUUCCUACCCGGAAACUAGUUUUGAAAUACUAAAUCAUGAAAUAUCACAAGAAAAUCUUUUAAAAGCUAUUUCCCACACGAAAAUUUUUUCUUUUUUUUACGCUACCACGAGGGGUAGAAGACCAUUUUCAUUUCACGAAAACUCACAAAUCCUUUAUUACAUGCAUGAAAUUCCAAAUUCAAAUGUAAUAAAAUGCUGAACCAUAUAAAUUGUCUAAUUCA
rnacentral:lncRNA from 1 species